AAGACAAAGAAAAUACCAAGUGUCGAUGGCAAGAAUGUGGAGAAAUCGGAACCCUUGUGCUCUGUCGAUGGGAAUGUCAAAUGGCGUGGCUGCUGAGAGAAACAGUAUGACAGUUCCCCCCAAAAUUACAAAUAGAAUUUCCAUAUGAUCUAACAAUUCCACAUAUGGGUACAUACCCAAAAGAAUUGAAGGUAGGUACUCAAAGAGAUAUUUGUAUACCCGUGUUUAUAGUAGCAUUAUUUACAACAGCCAGAAGGGGAACGCGGUCAAAGCGUCCGUCAAGGGACGAACGGAUACACACAAUAUGCUUAUAUACCGACAGUGGAAUCUUACCCAGUCUACAAAGAAAGGAAAGGACACAUGCUACGACACAGACGAGCCUCGAGGACACUAUGCUUGCUGCGCUGUUGGAAAGGUCCAUGUGGCAGGGAACUGAGGGUGGCCUCCAGCCAACCACCAGCAAAGAAUUGGGGCCCUCCAUACAACAACCUGCAAGAAACUGAAUCCUUCCACUGGCCACAUAGGGGAGCUUAGAAGCAGAUUCUUCUCCAGUUAAAAGUUAAUGGGACUAUAGCCCUGACCAACACCUUGAUCACAGCCUGGACCAGACCCUGAAGCAGGGCUGAGCUUAACUGUGCCCAGAUUCCUGACCCACAGAAACUAUAAAUAAUAAAUAUUGUCAUUUUAGGCUA